GUUAUUCAGCAAUGGGUAACCGAGUGGCGAACGGGUGAGUAACACGUGGGUGACCUACCUUCGAGUGGGGGAUAACGUCCCGAAAGGGACGCUAAUACCGCAUAACAUCCUGCCUUUGAACAGGCGGUGAUCAAAGCCGGGGACCGUAAGGCCCGGCGCUUGAUGAGGGGCUCGCGUCUGAUUAGCUAGUUGGUGAGGUAACGGCCCACCAAGGCGACGAUCAGUAUCCGGCCUGAGAGGGCGGACGGACACACUGGGACUGAGACACGGCCCAGACUCCUACGGGAGGCAGCAGUGGGGAAUUGUUCACAAUGGGCGCAAGCCUGAUGACGCAACGCCGCGUGGAGGAUGAAGGUCUUCGGA
rnacentral:rRNA from 1 species